rnacentral:rRNA from 1 species
UACGUAGGGUCCGAGCGUUGUCCGGAAUUAUUGGGCGUAAAGGGCUCGUAGGCGGUUGGUCACGUCGGGAGUGAAAACUCAGGGCUCAACCCUGAGCGUGCUUCCGAUACGGGCCGACUAGAGGUAUGCAGGGGAGAACGGAAUUCCUGGUGUAGCGGUGAAAUGCUUAGAUAUGACAUAGAAUACCGAUAGCGAAGGCAGCUUACUACAUGUUAAUUGACGCUGAGGCACGAAAGCGUGGGGAGCAAACAGG